GACGAACGCUGGCGGCGUGCUUAACACAUGCAAGUCGUACGGUAAGGCCCUUUCGGGGGUACACGAGUGGCGAACGGGUGAGUAACACGAGAGUAACCUGCCCACAACUUUGGGAUAACGCUAGGAAACUGGUGCUAAUACUGGAUAUGUGCUCCUGCUGCAUGGUGGGGGUUGGAAAGCUCCGGCGGUUGUGGAUGGACUCGCGGCCUAUCAGCUUGUUGGUGGGGUAGUGGCCUACCAAGGCGGCGACGGGUAGCCGGCCUGAGAGGGUGACCGGCCACAUUGGGACUGAGAUACGGCCCAGACUCCUACGGGAGGCAGCAGUGGGGAAUAUUGCACAAUGGGCGCAAGCCUGAUGCAGCAACGCCGCGUGCGGGAUGACGGCCUUCGGGUUGUAAACCGCUUUCAGCAGGGACGAAGCUUUUUGUGACGGUACCUGCAGAAGAAGCACCGGCUAACUACGUG
rnacentral:rRNA from 1 species